GAUGAACGCUGGCGGCGUGCCUAAUACAUGCAAGUCGAGCGAACAGACGAGGAGCUUGCUCCUCUGACGUUAGCGGCGGACGGGUGAGUAACACGUGGAUAACCUACCUAUAAGACUGGGAUAACUGCGGGAAACCGGAGCUAAUACCGGAUAACAUGUUGAACCGCAUGGUUCAACAGUGAAAGACGGUCUUGCUGUCACUUAUAGAUGGAUCCGCGCCGCAUUAGCUAGUUGGUAAGGUAACGGCUUACCAAGGCAACGAUGCGUAGCCGACCUGAGAGGGUGAUCAGCCACACUGGAACUGAGACACGGUCCAGACUCCUACGGGAGGCAGCAGUAGGGAAUCUUCCGCAAUGGGCGAAAGCCUGACGGAGCAACGCCGCGUGAGUGAAGAAGGUCUUCGGAUCGUAAACCUCUGUUAUUAGGGAAGAACAAAUGUGUAAGUAACUAUGCACGUCUUGACGGUACCUAAUCAGAAAGCCACGGCUAACUACGUG
rnacentral:rRNA from 1 species